rnacentral:rRNA from 1 species
AACGCUGGCGGCGUGCCUAAUACAUGCAAGUCGAACGCACAGCGAAAGGUGCUUGCACCUUUCAAGUGAGUGGCGAACGGGUGAGUAACACGUGGACAACCUGCCUCAAGGCUGGGGAUAACAUUUGGAAACAGAUGCUAAUACCGAAUAAAACUUAGUGUUGCAUGACACAUGAGUUAAAAGGCGCUUUGCGCGUCACCUAGGAGAUGGAUCCGCGGUGCAUUAGUUAGUUGGUGGGGUAAAGGCCUACCAAGACAAUGAUGCAUAGCCGAGUUGAGAGACUGAUCGGCCACAUUGGGACUGAGACACGGCCCAAACUCCUACGGCAGGCUGCAGUAGGGAAUCUUCCACAAUGGGCGAAAGCCUGAUGGAGCAACGCCGCGUGUGUGAUGAAGGCUUUCGGGUCGUAAAGCACUGUUGUAUGGGAAGAACAGCUAGAAUAGGGAAUGAUUUUAGUUUGACGGUCCAUACCAGAAAGGCACGGCUAACUA